rnacentral:rRNA from 1 species
GGGGGCCCGCAAGCGGUGGAGCAUGUGGUUUAAUUCGAUGCAACGCGAAGAACCUUACCUACUCUUGACAUCCAGAGAAUAUAGCAGAGAUGCCAUAGUGCCUUCGGGAACUCUGAGACAGGUGCUGCAUGGCUGCCGUCAGCUCGUGUUGUGAAAUGUUGGGUUAAGUCCCGCAACGAGCGCAACCCUUAUCCUUUGUUGCCAGCGAUUAAGUCGGGAACUCAAAGGAGACUGCCAGUGAUAAACUGGAGGAAGGUGGGGAUGACGUCAAGUCAUCAUGGCCCUUACGAGUAGGGCUACACACGUGCUACAAUGGCGCAUACAAAGAGAAGCAAACUUGCGAAAGCUAGCAGACCUCAUAAAGUGCGUCGUAGUCCGGAUUGGAGUAUGCAACUCGACUCCAUGAAGUCGGAAUCGCUAGUAAUCGUGGAUCAGAACGCCACGGUGAAUACGUUCCCGGGCCUUGUACACACC